rnacentral:rRNA from 1 species
AUUGAACGCUGGCGGCAUGCCUUACACAUGCAAGUCGAACGGUAACGCGGGGCAACCUGGCGACGAGUGGCGAACGGGUGAGUAAUGCAUCGGAACGUGCCUGGUAGUGGGGGGUAACUGCUCGAAAGAGCAGCUAAUACCGCAUACGACCUGAGGGUGAAAGGGGGGGAUCGCAAGACCUCUCGCUAUCGGAGCGGCCGAUGUCGGAUUAGCUAGUUGGUGGGGUAAAGGCCCACCAAGGCAACGAUCCGUAGCUGGUCUGAGGGGACGACCAGCCACACUGGGACUGAGACACGGCCCAGACUCCUACGGGAGGCAGCAGUGGGGAAUUUUGGACAAUGGACGCAAGUCUGAUCCAGCAAUGCCGCGUGCGGGAAGAAGGCCUUCGGGUUGUAAACCGCUUUUGUCAGGGAAGAAAUCUUCUGGGUUAAUACCUCGGGAGGAUGACGGUACCUGAAGAAUAAGCACCGGCUAACUACGUGCCAGCCGCCGCUGUAA